AACGAACGCUGGCGGCAGGCUUAACACAUGCAAGUCGAACGAGAAGGUACCUUCGGGUACUGGACAGUGGCGCACGGGUGAGUAACGCGUGGGAAUCUACCAUGGAGUGGGGGAUAACAUUUGGAAACGAAUGCUAAUACCGCAUACGCCCUACGGGGGAAAGAUUUAUUGCUCUAUGAUGAGCCCGCGUUAGAUUAGGUAGUUGGUGGGGUAAUGGCCUACCAAGCCUACGAUCUAUAGCUGGUCUGAGAGGAUGAUCAGCCACACUGGGACUGAGAUACGGCCCAGACUCCUACGGGAGGCAGCAGUGGGGAAUAUUGGACAAUGGGCGCAAGCCUGAUCCAGCCAUGCCGCGUGAGUGAAGAAGGCCUUAGGGUUGUAAAACUCUUUCAACUGUGAGGAUGAUGACAGUAGCAGUAGAAGAAGCACCGGCUAAUUC
rnacentral:rRNA from 1 species